AACUCUAGAAGAAUGAUUUAGUCUAUAUUAUGAGAUGAACUAGAACCAUGUUGAUCACGUAAGCAGAGAGCAGCUAGUAUAGACUAUUUAGAAUCAAUGUAUAGGGAUUAGCUUAGUAGGUCUAUCUCAGUCUGAGAGCCAAUGAAAGCACUGGCUCCUCCUUUUCCUUACUCCUUCUUGCUGAUCCUACUGGUAGUGGGGGAAAUACCCUCUCUGGGAAAGAGACUUUUAAUCCUCACCUGAACUUGGCUAAAAACAAUGGUCUCUUUUUACUUAAUGUGUUUAAUGUCCAAGCAUCAUCAAUCUGAAUGAACUCAACAACAAACUCUGAGGAAACAGCAUCCAUGAUAUUUCCAGGAGCAGAAACAGUGAAAACGGAGUGCAGUCCUACUUACACAGAUUGGAAGAGCAAGAAAGUAAUGGUGACCCACACACCCCAAACAUGAUGCCCUGUGUGAUUCUGAGAAAAUUGUGACCCCCUUUGGCACGGAGAUCCACUCCCUUCUUCCUUUUGCUAUGUAAACCACUCCAUGAACUCUUUUUGUUGAAAUUUGAAAAGCAAUAUGUAAAUAGUCUUAAUGUUUGGAAAACAUCAUCUUGAAAAGCUGCUGAAACUAUAUGGUGAGUCUUCAACAAGCCUGAUUUGAAGCCUUUCUGGGAUUUGCAAUGAGAGAUACUUUGAAGAUCUUCCAAGAGUUUAACUCAAUGCUAACUGAUGGGUCAGUUUGACAGUAGCAUUUAUUUUAAUGAAUUAUAUCUGUAAAGUUCCUCAAAUGAAUCCAUAAUACAUAAUAAAUGUAUUAAAUAAAUACAUAUGUAUGCA